rnacentral:rRNA from 1 species
UUAACGCUGGCGGUAUGUAUAAUACAUGCAAGUCGAGCGCCCCUCACUUUGUCUACGAUUCGUUCGUAGGUAAAGUGAGGGGAGCGGCGAACGGCUGAGUAACACGUUGGCAUCUGCCCCAGACUCAGGGAUAACAUCUAGAAAUAGGUGCUAAUACCGGAUAGUCCCGAAAGGGUAAAGAUUUUUCGGUUUGGGAGGAGCCUGCGGCCUAUCAGCUUGUUGGUAAGGUAACUGCUUACCAAGGCUAUGACGGGUAGCUGGUCUGAGAGGAUGACCAGCCAGAAUGGGACUGAGACACGGCCCAUACUCCUACGGGAGGCAGCAGUAAAGAAUCUUUCGCAAUGGAGGAAACUCUGACGAAGCAAUACCGCGUGGGCGAUGAAGGUCGAAAGAUCGUAAAGCCCUUUUCUGAGAGAAUAAUUUUGAAGGUAUCUCAGGAAUAAGCACCGGCUAACUCC